CCUACGGGAGGCAGCAGUGAGGAAUAUUGGUCAAUGGACGAGAGUCUGAACCAGCCAAGUAGCGUGAAGGAUGACUGCCCUAUGGGUUGUAAACUUCUUUUAUAUGGGAAUAAAACGUUCCACGUGUGGGAUUUUGUAUGUACCAUAUGAAUAAGGAUCGGCUAAUUCCGUGCCAGCAGCCGCGGUAAUACGGAGGAUCCGAGCGUUAUCCGGAUUUAUUGGGUUUAAAGGGAGCGUAGGUGGAUUGUUAAGUCAGUUGUGAAAGUUUGCGGCUCAACCGUAAAAUUGCAGUUGAAACUGGCAGUCUUGAGUACAGUAGAGGUGGGCGGAAUUCGUGGUGUAGCGGUGAAAUGCUUAGAUAUCACGAAGAACUCCGAUUGCGAAGGCAGUUCACUGGACUGCAACUGACACUGAGGCUCGAAAGUGUGGGUAUCAAACAGGAUUAGAUACCCUUGUAGUC
rnacentral:rRNA from 1 species